AUUGAACGCUAGCGGCAUGCCUUACACAUGCAAGUCGAACGGCAGCGGGGGAGCUUGCUCCCGCCGGCGAGUGGCGAACGGGUGAGUAAUACAUCGGAACGUACCCAGUAGCGGGGGAUAGCCCGGCGAAAGCCGGAUUAAUACCGCAUACGCCCUACGGGGGAAAGGGGGGGAUCGCAAGACCUCCCACUAUUGGAGCGGCCGGUGGCUGGUUAGCUAGUUGGUGGGGUAAAGGCCUACCAAGGCGACGAUCAGUAGCUGGUCUGAGAGGACGACCAGCCACACUGGGACUGAGACACGGCCCAGACUCCUACGGGAGGCAGCAGUGGGGAAUUUUGGACAAUGGGCGAAAGCCUGAUCCAGUAAUGCCGCGUGUGCGAAGAAGGCCUUCGGGUUGUAAAGCACUUUUGUCAGGGAAGAAAUCGUUUGGGUUAAUACCCCGAGCAGUUGACGGUACCUGAAGAAUAAGCACCGGCUAACUACGUGCCAGCCGCCGCAGUAA
rnacentral:rRNA from 1 species